ensembl:lncRNA
GCGCGCGCGGAGCUCGGUGCGGGCGGCUGCGCGCCGCGCAAGUGCCUCCGUGUGCGCGGAGCGGGAGCUCGCCCUUAUUGCGGGGUCUCCCGCCAGGGCAGCGGUGUGGGGAGCGCUUGUGCGGUGUGUCCCCGCGCAAUCCUGCCCGAGGAGUGAGAGCGGCGCCCCCAAUCCGCGCACCGGCGGGGCGGGGGAUAUUGCGGGGUGCGCACCGCGGAGGUGACGAGCGGUACGGGCGCGCGGAGGCAGCGCUGCCUGCCUGCGCGGGUGCGCAACCGGGCGCGACUGCUACGUUAGGGAGGCGCGCCGCGGUGCGGGGGCCGAGCGGCGGCCGUGCGCUGUAUCUGGGGAGAGCAGAGCCACGUCAGCGGCGGGCAGGCAGCGGGAGCGCGCAGGCGGGUGAAUUUCUUUCCGUGUCCUGUUGCUGUGCACGGCUCCGCGCAGGCGGCGGGCGGCGUGGCUGUGCCGUGGGACGUGCUCGUACCUGCCUCCCCGGUGGAGCCGGCUGCGGAGGCGGUGCUGGCGGAUCUGUGUUUGUUUACCCCCUCAGUCUCCGGAGGUGAGGCGGCUUUUGACCUUCUCCCGGAGUGCCCCCGUGGGACCGUUCCUGCACCCAACACCCCGGGGGGCCCGAGCGUGGCCGUGUCCUCAUGUUUGUUCACAAUGGCCCCAAGACCACGUUGACAAAGGAGGCUCCAGGCAGGGUCGCACAGAGCGAAAGCCCUGCUUCUGGGCACUGGUGGGCCACCGUGCCCCCGAGGGCAAGUAUGGCGAAGGGCACGCUGGUCAGCAGGGGAAGGGGCUUCUCCCAAGCCGUUGGUCAAACCUCAGCCGAAGUUCUUUGAGGACACCCCAAAAAUAAGACUUGUAGUCUUCCAUGCAGCUCUUGCACGCUGUUCAGCGGCAUACUCUCCCUCGGGACUGUACAAUUAUACUAGUUUUUCUAUCACUUGCCUUGAAAGGGGAAAAACCCUGGGUGGGCGGGAGGACUGGUGUAUGUAACUCAACUAGUGAUGGCCAAUAAGAGUGUAAAGCCUCAAGCGUCCUAAUGCUGUAUGCCUCUUUUUGCAAAACCAAAGGGGAGAUGAAAGCAGCAGCAGCAGGGUUUUUUUGUUUGUUUUGUUUGCUUGGUUUUUUGGGGUUGUUUUUUUUUUUUUGUUUGAUUGGUUGGUUGGUUGGAUUUUGGUGGUUUUUGGUUUUGUUUUUUUUUUUUUUUUUUUGGUUGGUGAAAACACGAAGUGUAACUUCUUGGCUAGAAAACUCACUCUUCCCUUAGGGUAUAUGCCCUGCCCCUGUGCAAAGCUGCAAAUGAUAUUUACAUGCCAGAUAUUUACAUGUACAGUUCUUCCAGUCAAAGAUCAGACAUCAGACCAUUAAAGGCACAAUAAUAACAUACAAUUAUAUCCUUAGAUUUUUUCUUUAGUAAAAAUAAUUCCGUAAUGAAAUAUAUAAAAAUACACGUGUGAAAUCAUUUGCAUGAAGGAUGAAAGUACACCAUUUUUGCUUCUUGGUGUUGGAGCUUACCUGCAUAGUAGUUUUGGUCUUUUCUCUGCACUCAGGAUCUAUUCUGUCUGACACUCUCAGCCUCUAGGGGCUCUCUCUUUGCCUCUCUGUACACAGGGGAAAACUGGGAAACACCUUCAAAAGGUAGUACCGAGAGCUUAAACUCGCAGCUUUACAGCAUACUAAAAAUGUUGGUGUGGGUUUCAGAGCAUAGUCUCAUCCAUUUUCCCCCUACUAACCUCUGAAUAUUGCAUUAGUGAUCAUGAGCUGUCCGUCUGUCCUGUGAGACGGGAGGAGCUGCUAACCUGGCUCCUCCUCUUGCAGCUCCGUAGGUGCCAGCCAUCUAUAUAUCCUUACCAGUGUUCUGCAGUGUGUGUGUGACAUGUAUCCAGAGCUGCCAUUUCUGCUUUUUUCAUAGGUUGGAUUUUGUAACCUUUGUUGGUUUGUUUGUAUGUUUGUUUUAAAGCUAGACUAUCAAAAGGUUCCCCUCAAAUCUCCUGCAAUGUCAAUAAAUUCAGAGCACUGUAGCAAUUGAGAUAGUUGCUAUUGCUUCUGAAGAGUUACAGCAUGUAUAAAGAGAGUCGUGUCUAUGGAAAGGGUAAAUGGCUGUGCAGUCUCCUAGUAAGGAAUGAACUACCUUGAUGUUUUUCCUGUGCAGCCAGCAAGCAGUUCAAGUGUAACUUUGAGGGCAAGGCUCAGUGAGAUGCCUGCCCGCAGGAUCUCAUACCUAGCCAUGGGAGGGAACAAGGUAACAGAAGCUGCUGAUGCAGAGAACCAUCUUGUUUUCCCAGUCUAAGCAAGUCCGCCUCCAUCUCAGACCUAUGGUGGGAUAACAAGGGAGCUGCUGCCAUUUCCUGCCUGUGAAAUGCUCACAGAGAUCCUCAUCUCUAAAGUAUGCUGUUAGCAACGGUGAUGAUUUUGGCAUACAGCUCAUGGGAUCAAGGAAAGUCAACUUUCCUUGGUAGGUCUUCAGUGGAGAACAUCAGAGAAACUGGCCAUACCUUAGCCGGUUGCUGGUUUGUACCUUAACCUCAUGCCAGUAUGUCAGUGUGUUUCACUGGUCCACUAUUUUGCUCCAAGCUUCUUCAGCAUCUGUACAUUUUGGGAUAUAGGAAGUAGUAGCCAGGUCCCAGAUGUCUAUCCUGCCUCUGCAGCUCCAGACACGGAGGAGGCAGUUUGUCUGGUCAGUAGUGCAAGAUUCUCACUGAUACCUUAACGGCAGGGUGCUGAAGAAGAUAAAUGUAAACAUUUAACAACUGCCUUAUUCAGCCCAUUUGAUACUUUAAAAGAAGCAGAGGCCCUAGGGAGAGAAAGUAAAGAAAAAAGAGUAUGUGAUCGUGUAAUUAAAGACUGGAUCAUAAUGAAUAUGCACAGAAAGGUUGAAUUAAGGUGGUACUGGCAACCCAGCUUCUGAUAUUUCCUAACUUUUAAGCAAUACAAUGCAACCUUUACAACACUUCUUUCAUGUUGUUUUGGCUGGAACUGUUUCUCGCCAUUGGUUUGGAGAGAGCCUAGUACUUUGUGAGUUCUGUCAUAAUGGAAAUAAGUAAUAGAAAUGCAACUACUUUUAUCUGUGCCACACACACAUACACACCCUGCAACUAUUGCAACAUGCUCUUUUUCCCAGCUUUUUCAGAAGGAAGCUACUGAUUGUUCUUUAUGUAAGUGGGAAGAUUCAAGAGUUCAAAGGAGAAGAAUUAGAAUUAUUUGAUUUUUAAAAAAAUAUGUUCUGGUCUUAGAGGCUGAAUUAGUAUAUAUUUGUUUAUGAAAAUAAAUACAGUACAUGUACAGCAAGUUUUGAUUUUUUUUCCUGUUUGGGAAAUUAUUCCUGACAGAACAAAGAAAUGCAAGAAAGUCUGAAAGUGUUAAAGGCUUUUUCCGUGGUAUCUUGUUAAAGCCUUUCAGUGUAGAAAAGUGUUAGGUCUUUUCCUAUUUCGCUGUCGGUUCUAGCUAUGGUUUUGCACUGUUUGGCAUUGACCUAAAAGAAAUAACAGUUGAGAAACAAUUGAUACUUGUUUCCAAAAAGCUGUGUAUGUGCCUUAGAUUGGCAUAAGCUUUCUCUCACCGGUUAGAUGAAGAGUACUGUUUGCAAUACAUAAAAUACAACAACAAUCCAUUCUAUGUAUAGAGUUUAGUGUAGGCUAAUGUUAUUAAGAUGCCACAUUAUUUUUGUCAUUUAGGAGACAUUUGAAACUGCAUAGCCAGAGGUUGCUGCUUUAUUUUUUGUUUCUGCAGAGGAAAGCUAAGCCUGGGAUGCAUAAAACAUUUAUUAAUGUUUAGCUCCCUUCAAUCUUUGCUCUGAAUAUGUAGUUACAGCUGUAGCAACAUGAAGUUGCUAUUCCAGGAGGCAGAUGUGACCCAGAGAGUCCAUAGCCAGCCCUGCAUGUCCCCGCUGCUCCUCCGAGGGCCUCAUGGCCUGGUUGUGGGUUCCCAUCUUGUUCUGUAAAGUUUCCAAGCAGGCACCCCUCAAGCUAUGGUGGUGAUACUGGAGUUCCUCUCAGAAAGACGUUGGCCACGUGACUGGUUAAGAUGGAGAUAGAAGCAGUUAGCCCCCCUCACUGCAGGAUGAGGGCCCUUAGGUGCCUCUCAAGUGGUAUCCCUGAAGCUUUGAGAGUAGGUUGUCAUUAUAUUGUGUUGCCACAAUAAAUGUUCAGACCCAGGAUUAGAAGUGUCUUAUGGAUCCAGCCCACAUGUAAAGUGGCACUCUGCAGUGGAAGCAGGGGUAAGGGCUCUUAUUGUAAGCUCUGACUGUAAGCC